rnacentral:misc_RNA from 1 species
UGUAAUAAUAAUAUGGACGACAGCAUUGGACAAAUUAUUCAUUGUACAGCGAACAGCUGAUUGCAGGAAGGAACGCGAAAGGCAGCUGAAACUACAAGUAGGCGAAGUAGCCUACAAUCAAUUCUUUCAUUAUAAAUCGUCGUUCUGCUGAAUGCUUCUAUUAAUACAGCUGCUUGAGUAAUCUAGUGUCCAUCCCCACUUGAUUCAUUUCGUGCCAGGCUGCCAGCUAGUGAAUGGCGUGAAGAAUUCGAAUGAAAAGUUUAGCUGCUGCGUGCUGUCAGCAAGCAAGCAAUCCAAUUGAUGUCCACCAGGUGGCGCAAGUGUCUUCAAGGCCCAAAUUCGGCCAUAUUGAUCUAUAACGCAGCAGAAGUCGGUCGUGACGUUUCGCAUGAUGAAAAUGUAAAGGUUCAAUACCAAUUUUUCAAAUCAUCUAACUCGGAUUUGAGUGCCUGUUCAUUUAGCCGAAAUGUCGUACCUCGUGUGUCUUGCUGCCUGUACCCGUACGUCUCGUCCCAUGCAAAAGCAAACGUCCGCUGUUGGUUACUUUGUUGCAGCCUGAUGGUGUAAGAUGUGAUGAAGACUAAUUGAACUGUUGUAUGCAGCGUUUUUAUAUAUUACACAGCGUUAUAUUAUAUUAUUUACUUGUGCAAUGUGCAGUAUACGAUUGUGGCAUUCUGACUCCAUGUCAGAUUUGACAUAGUCGACAACU